rnacentral:lncRNA from 1 species
AUACAUUGACACUGAACAUGGAGGCAGCCAGGCCCGUUUCCUCCUUUCAAAAGUCAACCCUUCACAGACUCAUAAUAAUAUGUAUGCCUGGGGGCAGAAGUUAUUCAACAAAAAGAAGAAAAAAGGAAAAAUAAUGUAGAAACAUAAAGCAUACGUGGCAAAAUGUUAACAGUCAGUGAAUGAGUCUGGAGCACCUAUUCUUACAGAUGAUGUUAGUUUACAAGUGUUUAUGGAUCACUUGAAGAAACUUGCUGUGUCCAGUGCUGCUUGAAGUGCUAAUAAUGUUAAAGACACUUAAGAAGAUGAAAUAAUAUUCAAAUUUCAUUUUUUCCUUUUUCCAUUUAUCUGUGGAAACCAACAGAUAUUGCUCUAUAUUUUUUGUAUUAGUAUGGUUUGAGACAACAUAUGGAAAAUGUUCACAUUUGUAGAUUAAGCUGGAAUUAUAAUGAGAGCAAUAAGAACAAAUUUAUUUUGCUUACCACAGUGUUAUAGCUGGUUCUAGAAAUUUGAAGUCUUUAUAACUUAAUUAUGUUUAAUAAAAAAUAGAGUCUGCCUCGUACUACAGAUGUAACUCAUUUGUAUAUUGCAGACAGACCCAAAGUGGCACUGAAUUUUCUUGCUCACCUUUUAAAAACUUGUUCCUUAAUUUUAGCCAGAAAGCAAAAAAACAAUAGUAAUGAUAAAUGUGAACAUUUUUGCUUAUUCAUUGAAUAUUUUUCUGUAAUUUUCAGCACUUAUGUAUACACUUUUUCUGUACUUACUAGGUUAAGGCAGAUUUAUUUUUAUGAUUUGUUUAGGAAUUAUUUGAUUUUAUAAUGGUAAUUUUCAUGAUGAUAAUGUUUUUGGUUAUUUGGAAAGAUAGUUUAGAGAUGAAAGGUUUUUUUGGGUAACAAUCCCGCAGCUGACAAAAAAUGUGAAAUUUCCACAAAAUAUCCAACUUAUGUGACUAAACGCAGUAGUUUUUUUAAAAGGGGAGAUAGAAAAUAAAUGGUUUUGUUGGAGUGCAUUUUAGUAAGCCUUUGCAGUAAAAUGACGGUUGUAACUACUAAACCAAAUUUAGUUUUCACAGCAUGGUUUUGUUGUUUUCCCCUUGUUUUUCAGAGGUAAAUUUUGCAUUAUAUCCUUCAGUAUUUUAACACUAUUUUGGCAGUUUACACAUUACUUUUUGUUUUUCCUUCCUUUUUGUGAAAUGUAUUAAGUUGUGGUUCUUAUUGAAACAGUAUUAUAUAAUGUUUGCUUAAUUAUAUCAUGUGAUGCUCAGUUCUAUUUUGAUUUAUUCAUUAGUAUUCACUUUUACCUUUAAAGUUUACUUGUAGCAAAUAUGUUUACAUUGAUAAAGCCAGAUAUGUUUUGACAAUGAAAUUUACAUAUCAAGUACUGCAAAUAAAAGGUGGUGCUAUGAUAUAUGCUUAGGAGGACAGUUUUAAUGAUUGUACUUGCAUGAACACAAUCAUAUGAUGGUAAAGCAGAAACUUAAGAAAAAAUUGUUUAUGUGUUAUAUUCAAUUAGCUUAAAUAAGUUGCUUUGUUAUAUUUUAUUUGAAUUGAACUACGCUAGGCCUAAAUGCCAAUAAAAUAUACUUUUCACUGUU